rnacentral:rRNA from 1 species
UUGACCUCGGUUUCAGAUAGGCCUNACCCGCUGAAAAU